UCUUCCGGUGACUUAGUAGAAAAGUGACACCUCAUCAUUUCUGCAGAUUCUAUUCACGAGACCUGUUUCGCUCUACCCGGCCCAAAUUCACCAGGAGGAGACACGCGCAUCAGAAGGCAAGAAUCACCAGGUGGCAUCUUGAAGGAUAAUCCCCCACAGAAAGAGAAUCUUGCAGACCUAUUCAUUAAUCCAAGAAAUAGGCGUGGAAGAGUUACUUUGCUCCCCGGGUGACUCUUUCUAGACAUGGAUGAUAAAUUUAGCAAACAGGACAGACAAAGGUCAAGGGCUUACAGAGUUGACGGUCCAGCAGAGACAAGACAAGGCCACCAGACAGAUAACGGGCAUAGGGAACGAGACGGUGGUCAUGCAAUUCCUGAACCAUGAYCCAGGCACUCUGCACAGCUGGUGAGCGAUUGGAUGUGGCAGAUGGAAGAGAAGCCGCCAUUUACCCGGGGAAGACAGACUUUAAAUAUUCAAGCGGCUUCAGAACUCCCUUCAAUCAUACAUGAAUCCUGGAAGCAGCUUUCUCGUCGACCUUGGAAAGGUCUAGAGCAUUACAUUCUGGAGAACCUCAUGGAAGGGGCUGUCUCUGAUCGUGAAAGACCAUGAACUUGGGAGUCAGACUGACCUUGGAGUCCCAGUUCCGUGGACUUCCAGAUGUGCCACUUUGCCUCUCCCGCUCAUAAGCCUCAGUUGAGUGGAGACCUGAUUCCCACCUGAUCCCACAUCCCCAGCCCCUUUUUAUUUUUUAUUUAGAGACAGGGUCUUGGUAAGUUGUUGAGGGCCUCCCUAAGUUGCUGAGGCUGGCCUCCAACUUGCGAUCCUCCUCCUUCAGCCUCCCGAGUUGCUGGGAUGACAGAUGUGCCCCACCGUGCCGGGCCUAAAAAUCAUUGUUGACUUUAACAAUGCUCCAUAAACGUGCUCCAUAAACGUUCCCGGCGUUCAUCACUGUGAACAUUGCUAGUAUUCCUACGACAACUACUCUUGGUAGACGACGGCUAUUCCUAUCACCACUCUUACUACGACAACUAUCACUCCACCCCCUCCUCCCCACCCUCUCGCCAGCCAUCGUGGGGAUAACAUAAUUUGGUUAAGUACACGGUGAUGAAUCACUGGCGACUCAGUCCUCUCCCACGAAUAUAGAGUGUGUCUGAAUUUGCCAGUGCUUUUGUGAAGAACUGGGGUUCAAGACAGGGAGAGACAUGGUCCCUGCACUCGCAGACCUAGUGUUACACAAAGGUGUGACUCAUCACACAGCAAGGGAAUCCUAAGUGAGCUAUAGGAUUUUUCUUAGAAGAGUUUGGAUCACGGAUCUAUUUCAAGGGUUUACUUUUUAUUUAGAGACUCGGUCUCACCAAGUUGCUUAAGGCCUCGCUAAGUUGCUGAGGCUGGCCUUAAACUUGUGAUCCUCCUGUAUCAGCCUCCCGAGCCCCCCCUGGAAUUAUAGGCCUGCGCCACGACACCCAGCCUCAAUGCAUUUUCCCAAAUGUGUCACUCAGUUACCACCCUCUCUGUUUGUCCUGGGAACCACCCACAUGGUUAUUUAUUUAAGGGCUUUUUUCUUUGUUUUGAUUCCCUUUAUAGUGAUCAGAUAAAUGUGGCUUUAAUG
ensembl:lncRNA